AGCCCUGUGGCACAGUGGUUAUGAGCUUGGCUGCUAACCAAGAGGUUGGCGGUUCAAAUCCACCAGCCGCUC
rnacentral:tRNA from 1 species